GUGGGGAAUAUUGGGCAAUGGGCGAAAGCCUGACCCAGCAACGCCGCGUGAAGGAAGAAGGUUUUCGGAUCGUAAACUUCUAUCCUUGGUGAAGAUAAUGACGGUAGCCAAGAAGGAAGCCCCGGCUAACUACGUGCCAGCAGCCGCGGUAAUACGUAGGGGGCAAGCGUUGUCCGGAAUGACUGGGCGUAAAGGGCGCGUAGGCGGCCCGGUAAGUCUGAAGUGAAAGUCCUGCUUUUAAGGUGGGAAUUGCUUUGGAUACUGUCGGGCUUGAGUGUAGGAGAGGUAAGCGGAAUUCCCGGUGUAGCGGUGAAAUGCGUAGAGAUCGGGAGGAACACCAGUGGCGAAGGCGGCUUACUGGACUGUAACUGACGCUGAGGCGCGAAAGUGUGGGGAGCAAACAGGAUUAGAUACCCUGGUAGUCC
rnacentral:rRNA from 1 species